GCCGGGGUGACCGAGUGGUUUAGGUGAUGGGCUGCAGACCCAUUGUACGGGGGUUCAAAUCCCUCCCCCGGCU
rnacentral:tRNA from 1 species